rnacentral:rRNA from 1 species
UUCGAUUAUGCUCACAGAUUGAACGCUGGCGGGAUGUUUACACAUGCAAGUCGAACGGCAGCACGGGACUUCGGUCUGGUGGCGAGUGGCGAACGGUGAGUAAUGUAUCGGAGAAGCGGGGAUAACUACGCGAAAGCGUAGCUAAUACCGCAUACGCCCUUCGGGGCGGGGGACCUUCGGGCCUCGCACUAUUAGAGCGGCCGAUAUCGGAUUAGCUAGUUGGUGGGGUAACGGCUCACCAAGGCGACGAUCCGUACGUUUGAGAGGACGACCAGCCACACUGACUGAGACACGCCCAGACUCCUACGGGAGGCAGCAGUGGGGAAUUUUGGACAAUGGGGAAACCCUGAUCCAGCCAUCCCGCGUGUGCGAUGAAGGCCUUCGUUAAAGCACUUUGGCAGGAAAAGAAACGGCACGGGAUAAUACCCCGUGCAACUGACGGUACCUGCAGAAUAAGCACCGGCUAACUACGUGCCAGCAGCCGCGGUAAUACGUAGGGUGCAAGCGUUAAUCGGAAUUGCCAGUAAAGCGUGCGCAGGCGGUUCGGAAAGAAAGAUGAAAUCCCAGAGCUUAACUUUGGAACUGCAUUUUUAACUACCGAGCUAGAGUGUGUCAGAGGGAGGUGGAAUUCCGCGUGUGUAGCAGUGAAAUGCGUAGAUAUGCGGAGGAACACCGACGGCGAAGGCAGCCUCCUGGGAUAACACUGACGCUCAUGCAUGCGGGAGCAAACAGGAUUAGAUACUCCGGUAGUCCACGCCCUAAACGAUGUCAACUAGCUGUUGGGGCCUCGGGCCUGGUAGCGCAGCUAACGCGUGAAGUUGACCGCCUGGGGGGAGUACGGUCGCAAGAUUAAAACUCAAAGGAAUUGACGGGACCCGCACAAGCGGUGGAUGAUGUGGAUUAAUUCGAAAACCUUACCUACCCUUGACAUGUCUGGAAUCCCGAAGAGAUUUGGGAGUGCUCGCAAGAGAACCGGAACACAGGUGAUGGUCAUGUCAGCUCGUGUCGUGAGAUGUUGGGUUGCCUGCAACGAGCGCAACCCUUUGUCAUUAGUUGCUACGAAAGGGCACUCUAUCGACUGCCGGUGACAAACCGGAGGAAGGUGGGGAUGACGUCAAGUUCUCAUGGCCCUGCGGUAGGGCUUCACACGUCAUACAAUGGUCGGGACAGAGGGCUGCUAACCCGCGAGGGGGAGCUAAUCCCAGAACCCGGAUCGGAUCGCAGUCUGCAACCUGACUGCGUGAAGUCGGACCGCUAGUAACGGUGGAUCAGCAUGUCGCGGUGAAUACGUUCCCGGGUCUGUACACACCGCCAUGGGAGUGGUUUUACCAGAAGUAGUUAGCCUAACCGUAAGGAGGGCGAUUACCACGGUAGAUUCAUGACUGGGGUGAAGUCGUAACAAGGUAGUCUCAUU